CCUACGGGAGACUGCAGUGAGCAAUAUUGGUCAAUGGGCGCGAGCCUGAACCAGCCAAGUAGCGUGAAGGAUGACUGCCCUACGGGUUGUAAACUUCUUUUAUAAAGGAAUAAAGUGAGGCACGUGAGCCUUUUUGAAUGUACUUUAUGAAUAAGGAUCGGCUAACACCGUGCCAGCAGCCGCGGUAAUACGGAGGAUCCGAGCGUUAUCCGGAUUUAUUGGGUUUAAAGGGAGCGUAGAUGGGUUGUUAAGUCAGUUGUGAAAGUUUGCGGCUCAACCGUAGAAUUGCAAUUGAUACUGGCAGUCUUGAGUACAGGUGAGGUAGGCGGAAUUCGUGGUGUAGCGGUAAAAUGCUUAGAUAUCACGAAGAACACCGAUUGCGAAGGCAGCUUACUAAACUGCCACUGACAUUGAUGCUCGAAAGUGUGGGUAUCAAACAGGAUUAGAUACCCGAGUAGUC
rnacentral:rRNA from 1 species